rnacentral:lncRNA from 10 species
UAUAUUUGAGUUUCUGGCAUCAUGCUAGGUUCUAAGGAUACAAAAAUGAAUGAGAUGCUAUCACCUGCUGUCAAGAAAUUCACAGCCUAGGGAGAGAGUGACAUAUGACCAGAGAGGGUCCAAUGUGGACAGAUAAUGAAGAAGGGAGUCAGCAGAGGAGAUUCUGAGAACACAAAGGAGAAGAGAGGCAGCAACCCAGCGUGGGUGGGGUGAGCUGAUCAGAGAAGGCCUCCUGGAGCAGUGCACCCAGAGCUGAUAUGGAGUUGGAAAGAUUAAAGGCUGGAUGGUGAUGAGCAGAUUUCAUCUUUCUGCCAAGAACAGAUUGACCCUGAGCAAGGAUAAAAAGGCCAGCCAUAAGGAGACAUGACAAAUACCAUUGAGUACUGCAGAGCAACUUGGCAGCUGCCCGAGAAUGUGAUGACACAGAAUAAAGAUGUGAGACAGAAUCUGUGCUGAGGUCUAAAUUCACAUUGGAAGUCUGGGAAGAGAAGACUGUUUAUAAAAUUAUAGCCCAGGAAUUGCUGCCAAAGUCGGCCUUUGGUGCAGCUGUAAGUCGGAUGGAAUCCACCUUCCUGACGUCAGACCCACCCACUGGAACACUGCUCCUCUGACUGG